rnacentral:tRNA from 3 species
GAGAAAGUACUGCAUGAACUGCUAACUCUGCAUCCCCUACAUAAAAGUAUGGCUUUCUCA